rnacentral:lncRNA from 1 species
ACUAGUUCCCGGAACUCCAAACUUAUCCCCGCCUUUCCGCCAUCAUCUUCCUCGAAGAAUCUCUUUCCGGUCAUCAUUCUCAUUAUCACAUUUAGGGUAAGACCCGUUAGUAACUGUCGUAACUCCACCUAGAUAACAAAAAAUUAAAAUGAAGUUCUUAUUUUGUUAUGAUUUGAUAUUAACUGGUUUACGAGCCAUUAUCACAUUUUGUUAUUAUGUAACCUAAGAUACAUUAAAAAAAAAAAAAAAAACUAAGAGACGUUUAAGGAUAGAUAGUACUUUCUAGUUUCUAUAAUUUGAUAUUGAUAGCAACGGAAAGAAGAUGAACUGUUUGAUCCACUUACUAAAUCGAGCAAAUUUAGUUCUAUCAUGUAUCCAUAUGUAAUCAACGAUUUUUAACAAGGUUAAAGCUUUUAAAAUAAAAAAAUAAAAAAUCAUUGUUUAUCAAUUCAUGGAUUCUAUGUAGUUAUUUUUUUCUUAAAAUAUUAUUAAUUACCUGAAUUUCAUGUUUUCUCAAAAUUUUAUUCGUAGUGUAAGCUAUUUAUUGUCUUAAAUUUGACAAUCUAUAAAAAAAUAUAAACAAAAAAUGCAACGUGAAAACAUAUGAUUAUAUAACGGCAGUUGAAUUUGUUUUCCAGUUAAUUUUCUCAUACCUAUAUAAGUAUAAAAUAUCAUAUACAUAUUGUGUGGUUUAAACAUUUCAAUGAAUUAAAUAUAAUAUAAGAUUUUAAGGUAUGAUGAACCUACUUUAGCCGGGCGUUCGACAGAUAAAUCGUGAAGCUUUUGGAGAAGCAUCUUAACUUCGUCAUGUCGGAUUUCCGCUGAAGCGUUGAGUCGAUUUGUGGAGAAGACUUCUAAAGCGGUGAUACGACGGAGGUUUCGCCAGUGGUCACCGUAAGGAGCCGUAACCAUGGAGGUGUAGUCAUAAGCCACAUACUUGCCCAUGAUGAAACGAGGCCGAUUUGCUAAAACGAUGUCGUUUUUCGUCAAGAAGCAUUCUUCGGCUGCCGUUGGAGAUGAGAUGAUAACGGCAAGGCG